CUGAGCUGAAGGUGCGAAAGCGUGGGGAGCAAACCAGGAUUUAGAUACCCUGGUAGUCCCCGCCGUAAAACGAUGUCGAUUUGGAAUGUUUGUGACCCUUGAAAGACGUGGCUUCCGAGCUAACCACGUUUAAAUCCGACCCCCCUGGGGAGUACGGGCCGCAAGGUUAAAACUCAAAUGAAUUGACGGGGGCCCGCACAAGCGGUGGAGCAUGUGGUUUAAUUCGAUGCAACGCGAAGAACCUUACCUGGUCUUGACAUCCACAGAACUUAGCAGAGAUGCUUUGGUGCCUUCGGGAACUGUGAGACAGGUGCUGCAUGGCUGUCGUCAGCUCGUGUUGUGAAAUGUUGGGUUAAGUCCCGCAACGAGCGCAACCCUUAUCCUUUGUUGCCAGCGGUUCGGCCGGGAACUCAAAGGAGACUGCCAGUGAUAAACUGGAGGAAGGUGGGGAUGACGUCAAGUCAUCAUGGCCCUUACGACCAGGGCUACACACGUGCUACAAUGGCAUAUACAAAGAGAAGCGACCUCGCGAGAGCAAGCGGACCUCAUAAAGUAUGUCGUAGUCCGGAUUGGAGUCUGCAACUCGACUCCAUGAAGUCGGAAUCGCUAGUAAUCGUAGAUCAGAAUGCUACGGUGAAUACGUUCCCGGGCCUUGUACACACCGCCCGUCCCUCCAUGGGAGUGGGUUGCAAAAGAAGUAGGUAGCUUUAAUUUCGCGACAAAAGCGUAGACUUUCUCUGAGAAUUUGUUGCCCUCUGCAUU
rnacentral:rRNA from 1 species